rnacentral:rRNA from 1 species
GCCGCGUGAGGAGAGGCCUUCGGGUUGUAAAGCUCUUUUUGUAGGGAAGAAAAUGACGGUGCCUGACUAGGAAGCGCCGGCUAACUACGUGCCCGCCGCCCCGGUAACGUACCAGCCGCCGCGGUAAU